UUUUAGUGUGUCCUUCUGUAUCCACAGAAGAUCUGCAAAAAAAAAUCAGAAAAGACAAAUCCUAUGUAUUAAAUCACUAGCUUUGAAUUUGUUUUUAAGUUCCUCCUCAUUUAAUAGGCUCUAUUAUGACAUUCCUGCUGCAACUAUCUUUUCCUUUGCAGGGCUUCUACAGAUCCUGAUCAUUUCUAAAGAAGGAAUUCCCAACAGAAGCCUAAUCGAUUUGCUCAGCUCUAUGAAUUUGUACAGCGUAACAGAAAUCUUACACUUCAUAAAAAAUCUCACCCUCGCAAAUGUGUCCUCUGUAUUAAACAGUUCUAGUGAAUCUGAUUUUUUAAUAGGUUCAAGACAGCAAAGUAAGAUCAGGUGGGUAGGAGAGGGGAAAUAUGUGAGGGCAGACUCAUGUUCUGAGGGGAGAUAUAGAGGUAAAACACUUUAAAAUCAAAGCUCCAUAACUUUACAGGGUCAUUUCAAUGCUAAUAAUGUCAGGUUGCUUUCCAAGUGAAAUACAUACAUCUCCUGAGUCAAUUUUUUUAAGAGUUCUCAAACUCCAGCAAAGAAGAAAAAUCUAAAUUUGUCAUCUGGGUAACCAUUACCAGGAAAUAUAAUGAGCAGGUUUUGUCUGUGAAUGUGGGUCACAUCAUCCCUUCUCCCUCCCCUUACCUGCUCUUUCCUUAGGCCAUAACCAUUUUCGGAUUUUGAAGCAUAUUUACAGGAGUUAACCUGGUGAUGAAGCAUCAAAGAAUUCAGAGGCUGUUACCCCCAAAUCCAUGACAGCUUUGCAAUGGAGGGGAAAUACGUCAUCUCAUCUCUCCUUAAACAAUUUGUUUUAGGCAGCCAUUUCAGAUUAAAUAAAUAACCAAGUACACAAUUUAGAGACUCCAGACCACUAAGUAUAUUGAAUUAAAAAUUCAGGGAUGCUGUUGUAGUGAAUGGAAGGCAAUGUGUUUUACAGAGAAGCAGGCAGAAUACCUCUUGAUUCAUUGUACCUCCAAGUAAUUACUAAGAGCAGAUCUUGCUGGUAAUUCAAGCAACAAAAACAUUUUCUAAUUAUAUAGGGCCAGAUUUUCUGCUUUACAGUUUCCCAGAACUCUUCUUUGGGAAACCUAGGGUAGAAUUCCCCCCUUCUCUGCCUGUCCUUCUGCAGGAGCAGAGGAGCAGGAAAAGGUGUUCUUGGCUCACACUGUGUAUGCUGGGGUGGUGAUGCAAACUAAGAAAUACAGGUAGUUUUCAACUAGUAAGUGCCGAAAUGCCUGAUAGUUGAGGCUGCAGUCCUUUCCUUUAGAGAUACCAAUACCCAGAGCACAAGGGUGGUUUACUCAAUUUUUCCAAGGAAUAAACGAAGACCCAGAGCUGUGAUAGACUGAGCAAGAAUAAAAUCUAACAGUGCGCAGUGAUGAUGGACACCAACAGUCCUCAAUCUACUCAGCAGUUGCUUCAACUGCAAAGUAACAGAUUCAUUUUAGAAACACCUGCAAGGAAUUAUUUGUAAUAACUCCUGGUAAUAUAACAAAUUUGCAUGCUGGGAGAGUGGGGAGGUCACUGUCUAUAGCUACAGCUCUAAAGCCAAAUGACCUGAAGCUGUUUCUGCUGUGAGGGAUUUGCAGGAAGACAUGAAUUUUGCAGCCAGGAAGAGCAGGUGAUUUUUUUUCUAGCAACAGGAAAUCUUUAGGCAUGCCAAUAGAAUUAAUGUUCGGAGCUUUUUCAGUAUUCCCAGGUGAAAGCUGAAUGUGUAUGCAGACUCUAUGGCAUGUGGUCAUCAGAAUACUAUAAAUUUUCCUGUUACUUUCACAAAAUGAAACACGAUAAAAUUUUAUUUUCUGCAUUACACAUUAUAAAAAUGGAAAUAGAAGGCUUAAAUAUUCCAUUCACAAAGGUGAAGUGGGCAUAUUUCAAUCAUAUUAAAGCUACUUUUUCCUUACUUUUCAAAACAGAUUCCUGCUGAGGAUGUGCAGACUUGAAGUGACAUUUUCAGCUGUAAAAGCAUAAUUGGAAAAUUUCACUCUAGAAAUAGCAGCCCAUGCUACUAAAUUCAAUCCAGCUGUCUUGACCCUAUUCUCUCUGAAGUCAAUGGCUGAGUUAGAGUUUUAGAAGGCUGCUGUUCUCCACUUUAAUAUCUAUUCUGGGAUGUUGUAAGAACUGAAUUGGGACACAUGGACAGCAGCAUGUGAGAGCUUCAGAAAGCCACUGUGUGGGACCUGGAACCUGAGGAGAACCUGUGCUGCAGCACUGAAAAUGUCUCAGUUCCAAAAGUGAAAUGAGAGAAUGAAGCUCAGCUGAUCAUCAGCAAAUAUAUGAGUCUGCUGCUUAGUAAAUAGGGGUCUUCAGUGACUUUUUCACUAAAAGCAAUAAACAGUGACAUGUUUCCAGCCUGAGGAAACAGGACAAAAUGAGCAGGAUGAACCUGUGUUGCAGAUCAGGUAUAAUUAAUUUCUCUGUAAUUAAGUCACAGAGUAAUUUCUGUUGAAAGGGGUGCCUGGAAUCUCAGAAUUAGCAAGCUCCUCUGUAAAGAACUGUCAGAUGUAAGGUGGGAGCUGUAAAUGUGAGUGAUUGCAGUGUGAUCUAGUGUGAAGAUAACUGCCCGUCACUGGCUAGCAGGGAAGUGGCCCAGAGGGGCCAUCUUCAUGUAAAAUAUAUGAACACAGGAGGCUUCAGAGUAGUAAUAUAUUUCCUAAGAGAAAACUGUUGCAUCACUCAUCUGUUAGGUGAGUCAGAUCCAUUGGUGAGUGCCAGCAGGAAAGAAAGGAACCAGGAACACUCAGAACCUGAGGAACUGAUGAGCAGCUGAAAGGAAAGAACCCAUUUAUAUGAGAAGCAGUUGCAUAACACCCGCAUUGACAGCUGUUUGGGACCAAAUCCAUGGGUCUCACGUGAGAGCACAGACAGCAGAGAGAAGGGCAAAGCAGCACUGCAGCCCCACAGCCUGGGGAGCUUGGAGCCAACCUGAGAGGGAGCGUGGGAAGAAAGAAGUUGCUUUCUUCAGUCUCAUCAGAAGAGAUGGAUUAGGGGUAGCACAGAGUCAAACAUCUCUCAGCCAUUUCCCUGGCAAACCAGAGAAGUUGUUCUAUUUGACUUAUCUACUGAAAAACCACACCUGAGAAUGAAUAGAAGCAUUACUUUAAACAUAUUUGAACUAAAUCACUGCAAUACAUUUUGAACAUACAGCUUGCAGCAAGUAUAGAUUCUCUAUGUGGAUGCAGUUCUUGAACCUGUAUAUUGCUUUUAUCUUUGAUGAUGUUACAUUAAAAAGAAAUGGGAUACCAUAGAAAUAUUUUCUGUAAUAAAUGAGUAUAUAGAAAAUAUAAGAUAAAGGUGGAAGA